AAAGGUAAAGUAUGCUCAAAAAAUAUGGUGAAAGCAUAAUAAGGUAAACUCAAGCCCAUCAACCAACAACAGAUGGGCAGUUAUAACCACAU